rnacentral:rRNA from 1 species
AGAGUUUGAUUCUGGCUCAGAACGAACGCUGGCGGCGCGCCUAAUACAUGCAAGUCGAACGAGAAUGUGUAGCAAUACACAUGUACAGUGGCGAACGGGUGAGGACUACAUGGGUAACCUACCCUCGAGUGGGGAAUAACUAGCCGAAAGGUUAGCUAAUACCGCGUACGCUUCCCAGACUGCGGUUUGGGAAGGAAAGCGAUACCGUGGGUAUCGCGCUCUUGGAUGGGCUCAUGCCCUAUCAGCUUGUUGGUGAGGUAACGGCUCACCAAGGCUUCGACGGGUAGCUGAUCUGAGAGGAUGAUCAGCCACACUGGCACUGCGACACGGGCCAGACUCCUACGGGAGGCAGCAGUAAGGAAUAUUGCGCAAUGGGCGAAAGCCUGACGCAGCGACGCCGCGUGGGGGAUGAAGGUCUUCGGAUUGUAAACCCCUUUCGGGAGGGAAGAUGGGAUGGGGUAACCCAUUCGGACGGUACCUCCAGAAGCAGCCACGGCUAACUUCGUGCCAGCAGCCGCGGUAAUACGAAGGUGGCAAGCGUUGUUCGGAUUUACUGGGCGUACAGGGAGCGUAGGCGGUUGGAUAAGCCCUCCGUGAAAUCUCCAGGCUUAACCUGGAAAGUGCAGAGGGGACUGUUCAGCUAGAGGAUGGGAGAGGAGCGCGGAAUUCCCGGUGUAGCGGUGAAAUGCGUAGAGAUCGGGAGGAAGGCCGGUGGCGAAGGCGGCGCUCUGGAACAUUUCUGACGCUGAGGCUCGAAAGCGUGGGGAGCAAA